rnacentral:misc_RNA from 1 species
CUUCCAUAGCUGUACGCAUAUCUUGAGGCAUGGCUUUGUAAUGUGUGAACGCAUCGACUCCUCGCGUCUCGAGAGGCAAUCACACCCAUUUCAUCAACUGAAGUGCUCGCGCAGCAUACGAAACCGCGCGGCUGUGAUUUAUCACCUCACUCGUGCAAAGCUGCACAUAAAAGUGCCACAGGAUGUGCUGUUCUCUGCCUCUUUGUCGUACGCUCUCAACAUUAGUCGCAUGAGCGCAAAAUGUCCGACUUUAGGUCAGCUGCGGCCGGUCUCAAAUGAAACGGAUAUCGUCGCUGUCGAAAUGCUUAUUUUUGAGUUCGUGAGGCCGCACGUAGUACUGAUCGAAGGCUGCCUGCGACUGGAGCUUAAGAGGCUUGUGUUGCAUCGGCCACUGCCUCUCAAGAUUCGGGAGUGCGUCGGACGCGUCGCUAUCGCAUUGUCUGACACACUGUAUGCGUGCCACUACUGUUUGUUUCCGGAAGCUGCUGCUCGGGCGUGCUUGCUGAAUGCGUGCGAGCGUCUAAGUGUUGAUGUUGACUCUGCAACUCUUCCGGACGAAUUCAGGACACCACAGGUGACCGAAAUACGUGCCUUUUUUUCGACGCCCGAAGCGGAGAGGACGUGACGUACUUUUUUCCCUCCUCUCGUGCCCUGCAAGGAAAAAGUGGUGAUGACUCGCUCAAAUGACGAGUAAC